UACAGAGGUCUCAAGCGUUGUUCGGAUUCAUUGGGCGUAAAGGGUGCGUAGGCGGCGCGGUAAGUCGGGUGUGAAAUCUCGGAGCUUAACUCCGAAACUGCAUUCGAUACUGCCGUGCUUGAGGACUGGAGAGGAGACUGGAAUUUACGGUGUAGCGGUGAAAUGCGCAGAUAUCAGGAGGAACACCGGGUGGCGAAGGCGGUGGUCUGGGCCGGCACUGACGCUGAGGAGCGAAAGCGUGGGGAGCGAACAGG
rnacentral:rRNA from 1 species